rnacentral:lncRNA from 1 species
GCCCCUCCUUCCCCGAGUGAUAUAGUGUUAUUCUUUUUAUGUCACUAUUAGAGAGUGUUUGAUCCUUAAUUUCUAAAUUCAUGGACGAAGGAUCAUAUCAGUGCUAUGCACGGUUUACAAAUGUAUCCGAUGAGAAUUUCGGGUACCGGUAGUCUAUUAAUCAUUUACAGCAUAUAUGAUAAUUGUAAGAAGUAAAAAUUAAAAUGUUA